CCAAUAGCGUAUAUUAAAGUUGUUGCAGUUAAAAAGCUCGUAGUUGAAUUUCGGGGUCAGUAGGUCGGUCGUGCCACUGGUAUGAACUGGUUUUACUGAUUCCUCCCUCUUGAAGAACUGUAAUGCCAUUAAUUUGUUGUUGCAGGGAAUCAGGACUGUUACUUUGAAAAAAUUAGAGUGUUUAAAGCAGGCUUUAGCUUGAAUACAUGAGCCGGGAAUAAUGAAAUAGGACGUUUGAUCCUAUUUUGUUGGUUUCUAGGAUUGACGUAAUGAUUAAUAGGGAUAGUUGGGGGAAUUAGUAUUCAAUUGUCAGUGGUGAAAUUCUUGGAUUUAUUGAAGACUAACUACUGCGAAAGCAUUUGCCAAGGAGGUUUUCAUUAAUCAAGAACGAAAGUUAGGGGAUCGAAGACGAUCAGAUACCGUCGUAGUCUUAACCAUAAACUAUGCCGACUAGGGAUCGGAUGAUGUUAAUUUUUUCAUGACUCAUUCGGCGCCUUACG
rnacentral:rRNA from 1 species